AUUGAACGCUGGCGGCAGGCCUAACACAUGCAAGUCGAACGGUAACAGGAAGCAGCUUGCUGCUUUGCUGACGAGUGGCGGACGGGUGAGUAAUGUCUGGGAAACUGCCUGAUGGAGGGGGAUAACUACUGGAAACGGUAGCUAAUACCGCAUAACGUCGCAAGACCAAAGAGGGGGACCUUCGGGCCUCUUGCCAUCGGAUGUGCCCAGAUGGGAUUAGCUAGUAGGUGGGGUAACGGCUCACCUAGGCGACGAUCCCUAGCUGGUCUGAGAGGAUGACCAGCCACCCUGGAACUGAGACACGGUCCAGACUCCUACGGGAGGCAGCAGUGGGGAAUAUUGCACAAUGGGCGCAAGCCUGAUGCAGCCAUGCCGCGUGUAUGAAGAAGGCCUUCGGGUUGUAAAGUACUUUCAGCGGGGAGGAAGGGAGUAAAGUUAAUACCUUGGCUCAUUGACGUUACCCGCAGAAGAAGCACCGGCUAACUCCGUG
rnacentral:rRNA from 1 species